GCAUAUCAAUAAGCGGAGGAAAAGAAACUAACAAGGAUUCCCCUAGUAACUGCGAGUGAAGCGGGAAAAGCUCAAAUUUAAAAUCUGGUGGUCUCUGGCCAUCCGAGUUGUAAUCUAGAGAAGUGUUACCCGCGUCGGACCGUGUAUAAGUCUCCUGGAAUGGAGCGUCAUAGAGGGUGAGAAUCCCGUCUUUGACACGGACUACCGAGGCUUUGUGGUAUGCUCUCAAAGAGUCGAGUUGUUUGGGAAUGCAGCUCAAAAUGGGUGGUAAAUUCCAUCUAAAGCUAAAUAUUGGCGAGAGACCGAUAGCGAACAAGUACCGUGAGGGAAAGAUGAAAAGAACUUUGGAAAGAGAGUUAAACAGUACGUGAAAUUGCUGAAAGGGAAACGCUUGAAGUCAGUCGCGUUGGCCGGGAAUCAGCCUUGCUUUUGCUUGGUGUACUUUCUGGUUGACGGGCCAGCAUCAGUUUUGACCGGUGGAAAAAGUUCAGGGGAAUGUGGCAUCUUCGGGUGUGUUAUAGCCCUUGUUCGUAUACAUCGGUUGGGACUGAGGAACUCAGCACGCCGCAAGGCCGGGUCUUUGACCACGUUCGUGCUUAGGAUGCUGGCAUAAUGGCUUUAAUCGACCCGUCUUGAAACACGGACCAAGGAGUCUAACAUGCCUGCGAGUGUUUGGGUGGAAAACCCGAGCGCGUAAUGAAAGUGAAAGUUGAGAUCCUUGUCAUGGGGAGCAUCGACGCCCGGACCUGACGUUUUCUGACGGCCCUGCGGUAGAGCAUGUAUGUUGGGACCCGAAAGAUGGUGAACUAUGCCUGAAUAGGGUGAAGCCAGAGGAAACUCUGGUGGAGGCUCGUAGCGAUUCUGACGUGCAAAUCGAUCGUCAAAUUUGGGUAUAGGGGCGAAAGACUAAUCGAAACCAUCUAGUAGCUGGUUCCUGCCGAAGUU
rnacentral:rRNA from 1 species